CCCUUAGACGUUCUGGGCCGCACGCGCGCUACACUGACCAGUGCAACAAGCAUCCGUCCUUGGCCGACAGGCCCGGGCAAUCUUUGAACGCUGGUCGUGAUGGGGAUAGACUUUUGCAAUUUUUGGUCUUCAACGAGGAAUUCCUAGUAAACGCAAGUCAUCAACUUGCAUUGAUUACGUCCCUGCCCUUUGUACACACCGCCCGUCGCACCUACCGAUUGAAUGGUCCGGUGAAGCCUCCGGAGUGGCGCGCACCUCGGUGCCGCCGAGAAGUUGGCUAAACCUUACCAUUUAGAGGAAGGUGAAGUCGUANCA
rnacentral:rRNA from 1 species